CCUACGGGUGGCAGCAGUGGGGAAUAUUGGGCAAUGGGCGCAAGCCUGACCCAGCAACGCAGCGUGAAGGAAGAAGGCUUUCGGGGUGUAAACUUCCUUUUAGAGGGAAGAGCAGAAGACGGUACCUCUUGAAUAAGCCAUGGCUAACUACGUGCGAGCAGCCGCGGUCAUACGUAGGUGGCAAGCGUUGUCCGGAUUUACUGGGUGAAAAGGGCGUGCAGCCGGGAAGACAAGUCAGAUGUGAAAUCCCGCGGCUCAACCGCGGAACUGCAUUUGAAACUGUUUUUCUUGAGUACCGGAGAGGUCAUCGGAAUUCCUUGUGUAGCGGUGAAAUGCGUAGAUAUAAGGAAGAACACCAGUGGCGAAGGCGGAUGACUGGACGGCAACUGACGGUGAGGCGCGAAAGCGUGGUGAGCAAACAGGAUGAGAUACCCUUGUAGUC
rnacentral:rRNA from 1 species